AGAUUAGAUAGAUCGAGGAGGGGUUUAGUGGGUAAGGCAUCGAUUAUUUCACUUUAAUCUAAUGAUUAUAAUCGGUGAAUCCCACACUACACGCGGGUGGUUGGUUGGAUGUCGGGUGUCUUUUGAAGAUUCCCCUCCUCG
rfam:Anopheles culicifacies strain species A-37_1 cont1.9751, whole genome shotgun sequence.